rnacentral:rRNA from 1 species
UUUUAAGUCCAAUCUGCCCAAUGAAAAUUCUUAAAUGGCUGCAGUAUAAAUAACUGUACUAAGGUAGCAUAAUAAUUUGUUUUCUAAUUAAAAACUAGAAUGAAAGAUUUAAUGAAAUAUAUACUUUUUUAAUUUAAUAAAUUAAAUUUAUUAUUUAAGUUAAAAAACUUAAAUAAAUUUAAAAGACAACAAGACCCUAUAAAAUUUUAUUUUAUUAAAAAUAAUGUAUUAUUUUUAAUAAAAUUUAAUUGGGGUAAUUAAAAAAUUUAAAAAACUUUUUUAAAUUAAAACAAAAAUUUUUGAAAAAAACUUCUUUAAUUUAAAAAUAUUAAAAUUAAUUACUUUAGGGAUAACAGCAUAA